rnacentral:lncRNA from 1 species
GGUCCUCCCAUACACACACCCUCACUCCCAUCCAUACACUCACCCUCUCACACACCCAACCUCCCACCUUUAAUGUGUGUGGAUGGGACUAAGGUUUUCUCAUUUCUUUCAGAUUGUGCGCCUCCGAGGUGAACGUGUGGCUGGUCGAGAACUCCUCCAAACAGGUAAAGUACUUAUGACAAUAUAUAAUGUCUAUAUGCAAGUAUUUAUGAAUGUUAUGUUUUAAAGUUUUUUGUAUUCCAGGUUUGUUUGUGUGGCUGACUGGACCUACAAGGUGCUUCUUGGAGGUAAUAAAGAUACAUCAGUGAUGGUGAGGCCGUCACAUUACCAGCGGUUGUGGAUUUCUCAAUUCAACCUUUAUAUUGCAGACUCCACAUAAGGUAAAACACUUCCAUUCAGCAAUUGGUGUGCAGUGUCCAGAUUGUCAACAUUUAGUUCAGUAUGAUGUUACUUCUGGCCAGCUUAACCUGAGGAGAAAGUCAGUACAGUACACGAUUAGAUUUUGAAAAGGAAACUGCAAAGUACGCAAGCUAUUGAUUUUUAAUAAUUUAAACAAGUGAAAUUUUUUCUAGCUUAACUUUCUGAAUUCAUGAUCAGUUAACUUAUCGCAAAU